rnacentral:rRNA from 1 species
GAUGAACGCUGACAGAAUGCUUAACACAUGCAAGUCUUUGGCGAAGCUGUGCUUGCACAGCCUAGCCAAGGCGGACGGGUGAGUAACGCGUAAGGAACUUGCCCUGCAGUCAGGGAUAACAGACGGAAACGACUGAUAAGACCUGGUAAAGUCAGGCGGACUCAUGUCCAGCCUGAUGAAAAGUGAUGCUGCAGGAGAGCCUUGCGUCCUAUUAGCUUGUUGGUGGGGUAACGGCCCACCAAGGCGAUGAUAGGUAGCCGGCCUGAGAGGGUGGACGGCCACAAGGGGACUGAGAUACGGCCCUUACGCCUACGGGAGGCAGCAGUGGGGAAUAUUGGACAAUGGGGGCAACCCUGAUCCAGCAAUUCUGUGUGCACGAUGAAGGUUUUCGGAUUGUAAAGUGCUUUCAGCAGGGAAGAAAAAAAUGACGGUACCUGCAGAAGAAGCGACGGCUAAAUACGUG